CAAUUAUAAGGACGCAACUGCAAAUGGAACUCUCCAAGUUGUCAAAUAGUAGAUCUGAUUUAAACAUACCUUUGGAUUCCAUCAACACCGCCAUUGAUACUAUGGGUAUGGUUGACCACGUACUACUAAAUGUGAAUACUUUAAAAAGACAGAAAGUAGCACAAAGAAUCGGUCAAAUAAGGAAAUCGUUC